GAAAUGCGAUAAGUAAUGUGAAUUGCAGAAUUCAGUGAAUCAUCGAAUCUUUGAACGCACAUUGCGCCCGCCAGUAUUCUGGCGGGCAUGCCUGUCCGAGCGUCAUUACAACCAUCAAGCCCCCGGGCUUGUGUUGGGGACCUGCGGCUGCCCGCAGGCCCUGAAAACCAGUGGCGGGCUCGCUGUCACACCGAGCGUAGUAGCAAUCACCUCGCUCAGGGCGUGCUGCGGGUUCCGGCCGUUAAACAGCCUUACAAAACCCAAGGUUGACCUCGGAUCAGGUAGGAAGACCCGCUGAACUUAAGC
rnacentral:misc_RNA from 1 species